rnacentral:rRNA from 1 species
AUUGAACGCUGGCGGCAUGCCUUACACAUGCAAGUCGAACGGUAACGGGCCUUCGGGUGCCGACGAGUGGCGAACGGGUGAGUAAUGCAUCGGAACGUACCUUUCAGUGGGGGAUAACGUAGCGAAAGUUACGCUAAUACCGCAUAUUCUGUGAGCAGGAAAGCAGGGGAUCGCAAGACCCUGCGCGGAUUGAGCGGCGGAUGACAGAUUAGCUAGUUGGUGGGGUAAAGGCUCACCAAGGCCACGAUCUGUAGCGGGUCUGAGAGGAUGAGCCGCCACACUGGGACUGGGACACGGCCCAGACUCCUACGGGAGGCAGCAGUGGGGAAUUUUGGACAAUGGGGGCAACCCUGAUCCAGCCAUGCCGCGUGAGUGAAGAAGGCCUUCGGGUUGUAAAGCUCUUUCGGCCGGGAAGAAAUCGCACAGGCUAAUACCUUGUGUGGAUGACGGUACCGGAAUAAGAAGCACCGGCUAACUACGUGCCAGCAGCCGCCGCAGUAA